rnacentral:misc_RNA from 1 species
CAACCCCUAAGCACAGCUUACUGUUGGGACCCUACGGCCUCCGUAGUUCCCCAAAGCCAUUGGCGGAGUGGCAGUAGUCCUCUGAGCGCAGUAAUUCUUUAUCUCGCUUUUGUUAGGUGCUGCCCCCCGGCCGUUAAACCCCCCAAUUUUUUCU